UAGGGAAUCUUCCGCAAUGGACGCAAGUCUGACGGAGCAACGCCGCGUGAGUGAAGAAGGAUUUCGGUUCGUAAAACUCUGUUGUUAGAGAAGAACAGCGCAUAGAGUAACUGUUAUGCGUGUGACGGUAUCUAACCAGAAAGCCACGGCUAACUACGUGCCAGCAGCCGCGGUAAUACGUAGGUGGCAAGCGUUGUCCGGAUAUAUUGGGCGUAAAGCGAGCGCAGGCGGUCAAUUAAGUCUGAUGUGAAAGCCCCCGGCUCAACCGGGGAGGGUCAUUGGAAACUGGUUGACUUAAGUGCAGAAGAGGAGAGUGGAAUUCCAUGUGUAGCGGUGAAAUGCGUAGAUAUAUGGAGGAACACCAGUGGCGAAGGCGACUCUCUGGUCUGUAACUGACGCUGAGGCUCGAAAGCGUGGGGAGCGAACAGG
rnacentral:rRNA from 1 species